rnacentral:rRNA from 1 species
UACAGAGGUCUCAAGCGUUGUUCGGAUUCAUUGGGCGUAAAGGGUGCGUAGGCGGCGCGGUAAGUCGGAUGUGAAAUCUCGGAGCUUAACUCCGAAACUGCAUUCGAUACUGCCGUGCUUGAGGACUGGAGAGGAGACUGGAAUUUACGGUGUAGCGGUGAAAUGCGUAGAUAUCAGGAGGAACACCGAUGGCGAAGGCAGGUCUCUGGGCAUUAACUGACGCUGAGGAGCGAAAGCAUGGGGGAGCGAACAGG